UGCUCAGCAACUCCUUAUCCUACCUCCUCAUGGUACUGGCUGGAGUACGAGUAACCUUACGGAAGG
rnacentral:ribozyme from 1 species